rnacentral:lncRNA from 1 species
GUAAAUGUAGCUCUUAAGAGUUGAUGUUUCGUCAUUUAAACGGUCAGAAUCGGUUAUUCGGAUGAUAGUGUUUCAUAGAAACAGUGAAUUAACCUGUCGAUACUUCUAGAAAAAAAAAAUAAAAUGCGGAGCUGUUCAUAUGCAACGUCAGCUAAUUAAAACUGGUUCAAGGUGAGAAAACAAGACUCGAGACACUGAACACGUGACUUCUAGAAAACAAGAAAAACCGGAUUUAAGAAUCUUGAGACAUGAUCAUUCUGUUUCUUCGACUCUCAAGAUCUGUUCAGCCGAAUUAUUGUGUUUGUUUGCCAUUUCUAUCCAGAGUCAGUGGUGAAGCUCAGAUUCUGUUUCAUCAUGGAUGAGACACAAACACCCAGAGAUGAAGAUCUUUCUCCUGAAUCCAGUUCAGUUCAUCAGAAGAGAUCCGAACCAGAGCCCAGCUGUGUGUCUGUGAGAAGUGACUGGUCUAUUGAUAAUAUCAUAGAUUUUAAGAGAGGAGGAACACAGACUAAACUUAGUUCAGUUUAUCAGAAGAGAUCAGAACCAGAGCCCAGCUGUGUGUCUAUGAAGAGUGACUGGUCUAUAGAUAAUAUAAUAGAUUUUAAGACUGAAAAUACAGAGACUGAUCUCAGGUAUGAAAUUUCUAUAAAUAUAUGAAUAUAUAUGGCAUUUUCUUUUUGUAUAAUAUUUAUAGUUAUUUUUUAAUCUUUAUAUUGUAUGUUAAUGUAUAAAGUGUUGCUCACAUCUGUG